rnacentral:pre_miRNA from 1 species
UGAAAGACAUGGGUAGUGAGAUGUUGGUUGUAUCUUGCAUCUCACUACCUUGUCUUUCAUG